AAAUCUUCAGCAAUUUUCUUUAUUUCUUCCUGUUUGAAUUUUUCUGUUCCCUUUUCGUCUUUCAAAGUUUGGAUUAUUGUCUUCUCCUUCUCUUUCCUUAAUUUGUAUGCUAACCAUCUUCCUGGUUUAUUUGCAUUCUCAAAAAAAUUUUGCUUUGCAAAUUUGAACUUCUUUGCGGUUUCUUCAGUGAGCAAUAUAUUUAUCUGAUGUUGUGUAAGUUUUAUCUUCUCUAUAAGUUCUUUGUUUGUUGGGUUUUGUUUCAACUGCCUCUCCUCUAUGGCUAAUCUACUUUCCAGAGUCGCAUAUUUUUUCUGUCUUUCUCUUUUUUGUUUAGCUGCAAAUCUUAUGGCUAUUCCUCUAAAAAAGGCCUUACUUGCCUCCCAUAUCAUAAACAUUGAGAUAUCUGGUCUCAUAUUCUGUUUAAAGAAAAAGUCCAUUUCUUCUUUUACUUGUUUCUUAAAUUUUUCAUUUUUUAGAUGUAAUAUAUUCAGCUUCCAAGUGAAUUCUCUUGUUCUACUUCCUAUUUGUAACAAAAUUGGGUUAUGGUCUGCAAAUGUAUUCGGUAAGAUAUGUAUUUGUUCCAACUCUUUCAUUAGGUUUGUUGAUAUCCAACAUGUAUCAAUCCUUGGAUUACAUGUUCUCCAUGCAUCCACCAUAUUUAAUUCUUCUGCUAAUUGUAGGAAAUUUCUUGGAAUUGUGCUUCUCUUCUUUCUACUAGAUUUUUCUGUUUUUGUAGAAAGAUCUUUUUUCGCUUUUGGGGUGAGUUUAGGCCGUUUACGUUUACUGAUAAAAUCUUCAGUUGUUUUCUAGUCAUCUUGAUUUAAAUUACUAUCCUUUUGUUUUUUCUUCAUCAUGCUUCUAGUACAUCUUGGCUCUAUUGCUUCUUGUUCUCCUGUCUCUGUUUCUGAUUCUGCUUGUGAUAGUUGGCUUUGUUCCUCUCGAGAUCUUUCUUCUGAUUCCUUGUUGUCAGUUUUUUUUAGCUUCUUCUCAUUUUUUUCUAUGAAGUUUUGUGCCUUCAUCGGGGAUGUUAUGUUGUAUCUCUGUGUAUCAAUCCGAAAAAAUAGCCCUUCUGGUGUUAGCCAUCUAUAUGAGAUUCCAUUUUGUUGGAGUAG
rnacentral:lncRNA from 1 species